rnacentral:rRNA from 1 species
AGCGCACACGGUGGAUGCCUUGGCGGUCAGAGGCGAUGAAGGACGUGGCAGCCUGCGAAAAGUAUCGGGGAGCUGGCAACAAGCUUUGAUCCGGUAAUGUCCGAAUGGGGAAACCCACCCGCUUGCGGGUAUCCUGCAGUGAAUACAUAGCUGCUGGAAGCGAACCUGGUGAACUGAAAUAUCUAAGUAACCAGAGGAAAAGAAAUCAACCGAGAUUCCGUAAGUAGCGACGAGCGAACGCGGACUAGCCCUUAAGCUGAUUUGGUUCUAGGAAAACGCUCUGGAAAGAGCGGCCAUAGAAGGUGAUAGCCCUGUAUCUGAAAGGGCCAUUUCAGUGAAGACGAGUAGGGCGGGGCACGUGAAACCCUGUCUGAACAUGGGGGGACCAUCCUCCAAGGCUAAAUACUACUGACCGACCGAUAGUGAACCAGUACCGUGAGGGAAAGGCGAAAAGAACCCCGGAGAGGGGAGUGAAAUAGAACCUGAAACCGUGUGCGUACAAGCAGUAGGAGCUCCGCAAGGAGUGACUGCGUACCUUUUGUAUAAUGGGUCAGCGACUUACUGUUCGUGGCAAGCUUAACCGUAUAGGGGAGGCGAAGGGAAACCGAGUCUGAUAAGGGCGCAUAGUCGCGGGCAGUAGACCCGAAACCGGGUGAUCUAGUCAUGCCCAGGGUGAAGGUGCGGUAACACGCACUGGAGGCCCGAACCCACUCCCGUUGCAAAGGUAGGGGAUGAGGUGUGAUUAGGAGUGAAAAGCUAAUCGAACCCGGAGAUAGCUGGUUCUCCUCGAAAGCUAUUUAGGUAGCGCCUCAUAUGUAUCCUCUCGGGGGUAGAGCACUGUUAUGGCUAGGGGGUCAUCGCGACUUACCAAACCAUUGCAAACUCCGAAUACCGAGACGGACUGUAUGGGAGACACACGGCGGGUGCUAACGUCCGUCGUGAAAAGGGAAACAACCCAGACCCACAGCUAAGGUCCCAAAUUCACUGCUAAGUGGAAAACCAUGUGGAAAGGCACAGACAGCCAGGAGGUUGGCUUAGAAGCAGCCACCCUUUAAAGAAAGCGUAAUAGCUCACUGGUCGAGUCGGUCUGCGGGGAAGAUUUAACGGGGCUAAGCAGUGAACCGAAGCUUGGGGUGCAUAACUUUGUUAUGCGCGGUAGAGGAGCGUUCCGUAAGCCGUUGAAGGUGGAUUGAGAAGUCUGCUGGAGGUAUCGGAAGUGCGAAUGCUGACAUGAGUAACGAUAAUGCGGGUGAAAAACCCGCACGCCGAAAGCCCAAGGUUUCCUUGCGCAACGUUAAUCGGCGCAGGGUGAGUCGGCCCCUAAGGCGAGGACGAAAGUCGUAGUCGAUGGGAAGCAGGUUAAUAUUCCUGCACCUCGCGUAAGUGCGAUGGAGGGACGGAGAAGGUUAGGUGUACCAGGCGUUGGUUGUCCUGGGGAAAGGCGGUAGGUUUGGAUCUUUGGCAAAUCCGGGAUCCUUCAAGACCGAGCACCGAGACGAGCCUUUAUGGCAAAGUCACUGAUACCACGCUUCCAGGAAAAGCUCCUAAGCUUCAGCUUACGCAGACCGUACCGUAAACCGACACAGGUGGGUAGGAUGAGAAUUCUCAGGCGCUUGAGAGAACUCGGGUGAAGGAACUAGGCAACAUGGCACCGUAACUUCGGGAGAAGGUGCACCCUUUUUGGUGGCUCGUGCGAGCUAUAGCUGAAGAGGGUCGCAGUAACCAGGCCGCUGCGACUGUUUAUCAAAAACACAGCACUCUGCAAACACGAAAGUGGACGUAUAGGGUGUGACGCCUGCCCGGUGCUGGAAGGUUAAUUGAUGGGGUCAGCCGCAAGGCGAAGCUCUUGAUCGAAGCCCCAGUAAACGGCGGCCGUAACUAUAACGGUCCUAAGGUAGCGAAAUUCCUUGUCGGGUAAGUUCCGACCUGCACGAAUGGCGUAACGACAGCGGCGCUGUCUCCACCCGAGACUCAGUGAAAUUGAAAUCGCUGUGAAGAUGCAGCGUUCCCGUGGCAAGACGGAAAGACCCCGUGAACCUUUACUAUAGCUUUACACUGAACGUUGAGUUCGUCUGUGUAGGAUAGGUGGGAGGCUAUGAAACUGUGGCGCUAGCUGCAGUGGAGCCAUCCUUGAAAUACCACCCUGUCGUGCUUGACGUUCUAACCUGGGCCCAUUAUCUGGGUCGGGGACCGUGUAUGGUGGGUAGUUUGACUGGGGCGGUCUCCUCCUAAAGAGUAACGGAGGAGCUCGAAGGUACGCUCAGCGCGGUCGGACAUCGCGCACUGUGUGCAAAGGCAUAAGCGUGCUUGACUGCAAGAUCGACGGAUCAAGCAGGUAGGAAACUAGGACUUAGUGAUCCGGUGGUUCUGUAUGGAAGGGCCAUCGCUCAACGGAUAAAAGGUACUCCGGGGAUAACAGGCUGAUACCGCCCAAGAGUUCAUAUCGACGGCGGUGUUUGGCACCUCGAUGUCGGCUCAUCACAUCCUGGGGCUGUAGUCGGUCCCAAGGGUAUGGCUGUUCGCCAUUUAAAGUGGUACGCGAGCUGGGUUCAGAACGUCGUGAGACAGUUCGGUCCCUAUCUGCCAUGGGCGUUGGAGAUUUGAGAGGGGCUGCUCCUAGUACGAGAGGACCGGAGUGGACGAACCUCUGGUGUUCCGGUUGUCACGCCAGUGGCAUUGCCGGGUAGCUAUGUUCGGAAGCGAUAACCGCUGAAAGCAUCUAAGCGGGAAGCGCGCCUCAAGAUGAGAUCUCCCGGGGCACAAGCCCCCUGAAGGAACCAUGUAGACUACGUGGUUGAUAGGUCAGGUGUGUAAGUACAGCAAUGUAUUGAGCUAACUGAUACUAAUGAUCCGAGAGGCUUGACC